GCCUCCUCAUCUAAUUUUAGCCUUCCCAGGCUUGGGAGGGAGGGCCGGGGGUGGAAGGCUGGCUCAGAUGGGUCUGGGGGUGGAGGCAGCCCUCCCGGCCCAGCUGGGGCUAUGGGGCAGGACCUGGAUGGGCAGAGAACGUAGCAGCAGAGGAGUGAGGUUGCUGGCCAGCGGGGCAGUGCCAAGGCCCUGGGGCCCAGCUGAACCGUGUCCCUUCAACCUUUGGAGCUUUCCAGAGGGCAGGGCCAGAGGGAGCAGAGUCACCCGCCAAUGCCCUUCAUACAGGGAUGUCGGGGUGGGCAGGGGGCACAUCCCAGAGUGAGGGGCCGGGCCCACUGACCUCUUCUCUUGGCCUCCGACGUUAUCCCGCCCUUGCCCCCGGCCUGGGCUGGUCACGGGGCCAGUAAUUGAGUAAUCGGUGAGGGUGGGCAGGCAGGCUUGGGGCACUAAUAGUGGCGUGUGCAGGAUCCUAGGGCCGGCAUAGGGCCGAGCCGGGUAAUUAGUUGUUUUUAAAUAAACGUCAGCGGGCAUGCUUUAAUUAAGCCUUCUUCCCAGUGAGAGCCUCGAAGAUGUAAUCACAGAGAGAGAGAGAGAGAGAGAGAGAGAGAGAGAGAGAGAGAGAGCGUGCGAGCGAGACAGAGAGAGAGAGGAGCAUCGGCUCACCAAGAAGGCCUGUCCUGGUCCCAGGGGCCACAGCGGGAUGGCCCCUACCAACCUGGCCCAGCUGACUUGUUGGAGGAGAAACCUGGACACAGACAUGCACAGAAGACCAUGUGACCAUGAAGGCAGAGAUCAGAGUGAUGCUUCUAGAAGCCAGGGAAGAUUGCCAGUUAAUGACCAAAAGAAGCCAGGAGACAGGCCUGCAACGGAUUCUCCCUGAAGGCUCCCAGAAGGAACCAACCCUGACAACACCUUGAUCUUGGACUUCCAACCUCCAGAGCUGGGAGGCGACACAAUUCUGUUGUUGGCUGCAGUGGCUCACGCCUGUAAUCCCAGCACUUUGGGAGGCCAAGGCGGGAGAAUUGCUUGAGCCCAGGAGUUUGAGACCAGCCUGGGCAACACAGUGAGACCCCAGCUCUAUAAACAAAUAUAAAAAAGUAGCUGGGCAUGACGGGAUGCACCUGUAGUCCCAGCUGCUGGGGAGGCUGAGGCUGCAGUGGCCUGUGAUCGCACCAGUACACUUCAGCCUGGGCAACAGAGCAAGGCCUCAUCCCUGAAACAUAAACAAAACAACCAAUAAAGUCUCUGUUGCUAAA